CAGAGAGUAAAGGGAGCAGGUUUCUAGGCAUGAUAGCAUAGAUUCAAGGCAUAAUGUACAGACAAAGGUAUGGUAGGAUGUGAGUACAUUGGAGGUAAACCUAGUGGUGAGAGAGAUAUAGCCUCUAGAGACAUUUAAACCAGGUGAUGUCAUCGCAUAUGUAGGAGGUGGAACAACAUGGUUGGUUAAGGCAUAUUGAGCAGGGCUAGAGGCUCUACAGUGAAAUAAGACAGUAAUCACUAACCAGGACAGUAAUGGACAAGGCAGAAUGGGCCUGAGGGGGCCUGAGGGCAGAUUAUGUCGGUAUUCCAGUCGUGAAGGAUCAGCGGGGUUCCGUGCCCCGUACCGCCAGUAGAAGGGGUCCGGAUAUUGUAGCCGAGCAGGGGGCUUCAGGAGUAGCCCAGGAGCCCUAGCCGGGAGAUGGGUCUAGCAUGGGCUAGCCCCAGGCUAGUUGGUGCUUUCUCCGGGACGGAAACGUUAGCCAGGAGUAGCCCAGGAGCCCUAGCCAGGAGAUGGGUCUAGCAUGGGCUAGCCCCAGGCUAGUUGGUGCUUUCUCCGGGAUGGAAACGUUAGCCAGGAGUAGCCCAGGAGCCCUAGCCAGGAGAUGGGUCUAGCAUGGGCUAGCCCCAGGCUAGUUGGUGCUUUCUCCGGGACGGAAACGUUAGCCAGGAGUAGCCCAGGAGCCCUAGCCAGGAGAUGGGUCUACUAGCAUGGGCUAGCUCCAGGCUAGUUGGUGCUUUCUCCGGGACGGAAACGUUAGCCAGGAGUAGCCCAGGAGCCCUAGCCAGGAGAUGGGCCUAGCAUGGGCUAGCUCCAGGCUAGUUGGUGCUUUCUCCGGGACGGAAACGUUAGCCAGGAGUAGCCCAGGAGCCCUAGCCAGGAGAUGGGUCUAGCAUGGGCUAGCUCCAGGCUAGUUGGUGCUUUCUCCGGGACGGAAACGUUAGCCAGGAGUAGCCCAGGAGCCCUAGCCGGGAGAUGGGUCUAGCAUGGGCUAGCCCCAGGCUAGUUGGUGCUUUCUCCGGGACGGAAACGUUAGCCAGGAGUAGCCCAGGAGCCCUAGCCAGGAGAUGGGUCUAGCAUGGGCUAGCCCCAGGCUAGUUGGUGCUUUCUCCGGGACGGAAACGUUAGCCAGGAGUAGCCCAGGAGCCCUAGCCAGGAGAUGGGCCUAGCAUGGGCUAGCCCCAGGCUAGUUGGUGCUUUCUCCGGGACGGAAACGUUAGCCAGGAGUAGCCCAGGAGCCCUAGCCAGGAGAUGGGUCUAGCAUGGGCUAGCCCCAGGCUAGUUGGUGCUUUCUCCGGGACGGAAACGUUAGCCAGCAGUAGUCAACCCGGGUUGCGGUUAGGUAGCUGCCAUGAUCCAGAUGAAAAGGGUUCAGAGUUUGCGGUAGGAAUCCGGGGAAUUGAUAGUUCACCUCUGUAUUUUGUCACUCGCUGAUCUGUUUCACCUGUCUUGUGCUUGUCUCCACCUCCCCCUCCUGGUGUCUCCCACUUUUCUCCACUAUCCAUUAUCCCCUGUGUAUUUAUACCUGUGUUUUCUGUUUUCUCCAUUAUCCCCUGUGUAUUUAUAC
rnacentral:lncRNA from 1 species